AUGGGGACAGGAGACAUCCACGGAGCACGCGGACAGCACACGGAUGGGGACAGGAGACAUCCACCGAGCACGCGGACAGCACACGGAUGGGGACAGGAGACACCCACCGAGCACGCGGACAGCACACGGAUGGGGACAGGAGACACCCACCGAGCACGCGGACAGCACACGGAUGGGGACAGGGGACACCCACCGAGCACGCGGACAGCACACGGAUGGGGACAGGGGACACCCACCGAGCACGCGGAGAGCACACGGAUGGGGACAGGGGACAUCCACCGAGCACGCGGACAGCACACGGAUGGGGACAGGGGACAUCCACCGAGCACGCGGACAGCACACGGAUGGGGACAGGGGACAUCCACCGAGCACGCGGACAGCACACGGAUGGGGACAGGGGACAUCCACCGAGCACGCGGACAGCACACGGAUGGGGACAGGGGACACCCACCGAGCACGCGGACAGCACACGGAUGGGGACAGGGGACACCCACCGAGCACGCGGACAGCACACGGAUGGGGACAGGGGACAUCCACCGAGCACGCGGACAGCACACGGAUGGGGACAGGGACAUCCACCGAGCACGCGGACAGCACACGGAUGGGGACAGGGGACAUCCACCGAGCACGCGGACAGCACACGGAUGGGGACAGGGGACAUCCACCGAGCACGCGGACAGCACACGGAUGGGGACAGGGGACACCUACCGAGCACGCGGACAGCACACGGAUGGGGACAGGGGACACCCACCGAGCACGCGGACAGCACACGGAUGGGGACAGGAGACAUCCACCGAGCACGCGGACAGCACACGGAUGGGGAGGGGCUUUGGAGUCAUUCAGAUCCACCUCCAUCAGUACACCACACAUCUGCUAAGCCUUAACGUUCACGUCUGUAAAACGGGCCAACACUCACCCUCCCUCCUGCCCAGGGUGCAGCCGAGAGGAUUAGGAAAGCCUGGGGUGGUGGAUGAGCUUUUCCUCAGAGGCCCCGGUGGUAGGCGCCUAGGUAGAGAGGCCUUUCUGGGCCUUCUAGUCUCUGCAGAGGGCUCCCUUCAGUCCAAGCACUAA
rnacentral:lncRNA from 1 species